rnacentral:rRNA from 1 species
GAUGAACGCUGGCGGCGUGCUUAACACAUGCAAGUCGAACGGAGCACUGGAGCUUGUUUCCGUCGUGAGUGAUUAUUUUGUGACUGAGUGGCGGACGGCUGAGUAACGCGUGGGUAACAUGCCUUGUACAGGGGGCUAACAGUUCGAAACGGCUGAUAAUACCGCAUAAGGGCCCUGGAUCGCCUGGUGCAGUGUGAAAAAUUCCGGUGGUAUAAGAUGUACCCGCGUUGGAUUCUCUAGUUGGUGAGGUAACGGCCCACCAAGGCGACGUUACAUAGCCGACAUGAGAGGGUGACCGGCCACAUUGGGACUGAGACACGGCCCAAACUCCUACGGGAGGCAGCAGUGGGGAAUAUUGCAAAAUGGGCGAAAGCCUGAUGCAGCGACGCCGCGUGAGCGAAGAAGUAUUUCGGUAUGUAAAGCUCUAUAAGCAGGGAAGAUAAUGACGGUACCUGACUAAGAAGCACCGGCUAAAUACGUG